rnacentral:rRNA from 1 species
UACGUAGGGUGCGAGCGUUAAUCGGAAUUACGUGGGACGUAAAGCGUGCGCAGGCGGCUUUGCAAGACAGAUAGUCGAAAUCCCCGGGCUCGAACCUGGGAACUGUCAUUUGUGACUGCAAGGCUUGAGUACGGCAGAGGGGAUGGAAUUCCGCGUGUAGCAGUGAAAUGCGUAGAUAUGCGGAGGAACACCAAUGGCGAAGGCAAUCCCCUGGGCCUGUACUGACGCUCAUGCACGAAAGCGUGGGGAGCAAACAGGAUU